GGCACCGGGUCCAGGGAGGGACACCGGGGCUGAUAGGGAACAGGCGGGUCACCAGCCUGCCGAGGGUGCUCCAGGGCAGAACUGCGGGACAAUCUGAGCCCAACCAGCAGGAGGCGCGGCAGGGUGAUUCCUGAUGCCGCAAAACAGCUGAUCUGCAGCAGGAGGGAGGGGCAUAGACAGUGGAGCUGCUGGUGGAUUCUGAGCAAGAACAAUUUUUUCUUGUGGGUGCCCCAGUGCACCCAUGGAAUUAGCACCUAUAGCAUGGAGCUUCCUUCACCACCAGACCCCAUGUUGCCUUCCGCGCAGCUUGAAUAAUCUCUACUUUGAGGCGUAACCAUCAGAAAAAUCCAUUGUAAAGGGUUAUUGGUCUAUAAGGCUGUGUAGCUGAACUUUAAGUGAUAAAUAACUGUGUACAAUAUUACUGUAUUAUAUACGUGUAUCAAAUGAUGCCUUUUUUUGAAAGCUAAUGACACCUGGUGAUUAAUAUCACUGUGCAAUGUCUGAUGAUAUUAGGUUUUAAAUUUAUGGCCAAACAAGGAGAAUCAGGUUCCCUCCCAGGCAGGAGAGGGGGCAGCAAUCUACCUGUCUCCUGUGUAAAUUAAGCCUGGUGGAAUCAAAACAAUGGAAGCCCCAUUUGUGUAAAGGGUGAUGGGAAGCCCACAGGAAGGGAAGAACAGCGUGAUGUCGGCCUGCCUCUUGCAACAAGGUCACUGAACUUUCAAAGAUACAAAGAAGGACAGAAGCCAUCUCUGCCACCCAUCACUGGACAGACACAAGGGAACAGAGCCUCCAUCCCACCCCCUACCACCACAAGGCCAGGCUGAAGAUUCUCAGAACUGUAUAUAGAUGAGAAAAAAACAUCUUGAACAAACCCUGGACCUAGCUAGAUUAUGUUUUAGACUUUUAGAUGCAUGUUAUGUUCGGUUUUACUUCUAAUUCUUUCUGUUUUCUUUCUUUAUACUUGAAAUCACUUAAUCCUAUGUAUAUUUCCAGAAUAAAUUAGCUUUAUUUUUACCAUAAA